rnacentral:rRNA from 1 species
AAGUCCCGCAACGAGCGCAACCCUUGUCACUAGUUGCCAUCAUUUAGUUGGGCACUCUAGUGAGACUGCCGGUGACAAACCGGAGGAAGGUGGGGAUGACGUCAAGUCAUCAUGGCCCUUACGGCCAGGGCUACACACGUGCUACAAUGGUCGGUACAAAGGGUUGCCAAGCCGCGAGGUGGAGCUAAUCCCAUAAAACCGAUCGUAGUCCGGAUCGCAGUCUGCAACUCGACUGCGUGAAGUCGGAAUCGCUAGUAAUCGUGAAUCAGAACGUCACGGUGAAUACGUUCCCGGGCCUUGUACACACCGCCCGUCACACCAUGGGAGUGGGUUGCUCCAGAAGUAGCUAGUCUAACCGCAAGGGGGACGGUUACCACGGAGUGA